GAUGAUGAAUUCGAUGAAGUGGAUGAUGAUGGUGUCGAUGAAGGUAUUGGUGUUGAUGGCAGUGUAGUAGCGAGUAAAGAUUUUUUAACUUCAAUCUAGACUAACUCUUCUCUCAUGAUCUGGCCAAUCUUACUAUACCAACCAAAGAAAAAUUUUAGGGCAUGCAUGUUAGAUCAACAAAAAUUUUUAUUAUGCAGUGGAAGAGAUCUAAUCUAACAUGUAUCUUUGAGAUCAUAUCUCUUUAAAGCCAGAUCUAUCACAUCCUAAAAAUCAAAACACAAAAUAAACUAAUAUAACCAUAAAAAUCAGAUCUUCACCUUAGCGCG
rnacentral:lncRNA from 1 species